UACGGAGGAUGCGAGCGUUAUCCGGAUUUAUUGGGUUUAAAGGGUGCGUAGGCGGUUUUUAAGUUAGUGGUUAAACGUCGGGGCUUCACCUCACUACGCCAUUAAUACUGUAGAGCUAGAGAACAGACGAGGUAGGCGGAAUAAGUUAAGUAGCGGUGAAAUGCUUAGAUAUAACUUAGAACUCCGAUAGCGAAGGCAGCUUACCAGACUGCGACUGACGCUGAAGCACGAGAGCGUGGGUAGCGAACAGG
rnacentral:rRNA from 1 species